GGAGAGGAUAGAUCUAGCUCACAGUCUGCGUUUAGGGUGGCAUAGCCAUCCAAUCCCCACAUGGAGGGGAUUGUCGUCGAGUACUCCGGAGUGUCGCGCGACUAGGACCACUUGGAGGUCCGGACCACAUGGAGGUCCGCAGACGGUCCCGGGCUUGGGUGCACUUGGAGCUCCCUCCCCACUUUGGGAUUGAAAGGUGAGUCAUGGGCGAGCCCUAGGGCCUCGCCACAGUUUGGGUAAAUGAAAGGUUAAAGGUUUAAUAAAUGUCAUUGAACAUAGCUAUUCGAACAUGGAUCGAAUUUGUUAGCCUGGUAGCAAACCUUUAUUAUAUGAUGCAUGCAUUCAUAUUCAUGAUUAUGGGCAUAAUAGCAUAGUUUUCCUACUACCGCAUUUACAGCUUUCAGAUAUCUAUCUAUCUAUCUACCUAUUGUUGCUUGUGCCCACUUGGACCUAGUGGGG
rnacentral:lncRNA from 1 species